rnacentral:rRNA from 1 species
UGGGGAAUAUUGGACAAUGGGCGCAAGCCUGAUCCAGCCAUGCCGCGUGAGUGAUGAAGGCCUUAGGGUUGUAAAGCUCUUUCGGCGGGGACGAUAAUGACGGUACCCGCAGAAGAAGCCCCGGCUAACUUCGUGCCAGCAGCCGCGGUAAUACGAAGGGGGCUAGCGUUGCUCGGAAUCACUGGGCGUAAAGGGCGCGUAGGCGGACAUUUAAGUCGGGGGCGAAAGCCCAGGGCUCAACCCUGGAAUUGCCUCCGAUACUGGGUGUCUCGAGACCGGAAGAGGUGAGUGGAACUGCGAGUGUAGAGGUGAAAUUCGUAGAUAUUCGCAAGAACACCAGUGGCGAAGGCGGCUCACUGGUCCGGUUCUGACGCUGAGGCGCGAAAGCGUGGGGAGCAAAACAGGAUUAGAUACCCUGGUAGUCCACGCCGUAAAACGAUGGAUGCUAGCCGUUGGCAGGCUUGCCUGUCAGUGGCGCAGCUAACGCUUUAAGCAUCCCGCCUGGGGAGUACGGCCGCAAGGUUAAAACUCAAAGGAAUUGACGGGGUCAUAGCUGUUUCC